CUUCCUGGCUCCUGGGAGGCGUAGCGCAGGAGGGAUGCGAGUGUAGAUUGUGGUUGCACGUAGAGCAGACAGACAUCAGAGGGAUUUGGGUGGGGGUGCUAAGGAUGGCUCGGGGAAAGAAAGAAGGGGUCUUUGGGAGAAAGAGGCACGCUGUGGGGAGUUGUGGGGAGCUAAGUGGGUUAUGGAGGGAGAAGACAAGAGAGGGGAGGGUGGAGAGAAAAAGUUUUGUGGGAUGAGACUGCUGAUUUUGAAAGUUGUACCAGUGAGGUGUCAGGGUGACGAGCCACGGCUGUUAAUCUGCCCGGCGGAGGAGGAAAGAGAAAGAGCUUUCUAAAAGGGCACCCCAUGAGAUGCUGGCUAAGAGGCGGGGGUGCCCUGGCAAAGCAAAGGGUUUGUGGACCUCCCUGGGGGUGUGAGACUGGGAAAGCCCCAGGAGGUGCUGCUGAGCACAGAUGUUGUGGAAAAGAACUUAGCUCCUGGAGGCUCAGGGUGGUAUGUAAUUGUGUCGGCGAGAACGGGCGUUCCAAGCCAGGGAGGGCUGUAGUGGAUGCUGGAGGGGCCCGCAGCAGCCUGGGGCCCCGGGUGGUCCAGGGACAGCUCCUGGAAGUAGCGUUGAAAGAGCAAUUACUCUAUUGAGUCGCUAGGUGGCGCUGCAGGGAUUGACGUGCUUGUCAAUUACUGGGAUGGGGGAGGGGGGCAAUUGACACGUUUUGUCUUACAGAUGGCAGGAUUCUCCGUGGGGAACCUUUCUUUCCUAUAGGUUGGAAGCUAACUUCUUUAGGUGUGACGUACCCAGUCUGCUCCCUCUACCUCUGCUUCUCCUUCCUUUAUUUCACGAGGUUUUCAGUCGAUAAGUUCAGUUUUUAAAUUCGUACUGGUUCUGGUGAGGCGUAAGUAAAUAAGGGGAAUAUCCCGAAUGUGUCCUUUUGUGAUGCCC